rnacentral:rRNA from 1 species
AUUGAACGCUGGCGGCAGGCCUAACACAUGCGAGUCGAACGGUAACAGGAAGAUGCUUGCUUCUUUGCUGACGAGUGGCGGACGGGUGAGCAAUGUCUGGGAAACUGCCUGAUGGAGGGGGAUAACUACUGGAAACGGUAGCUACUACCGCAUAAUGUCGCAAGACCAAAGAGGGGGACCUUCGGGCCUCUUGCCUUCGGCUGUGCCCAGAUGGGAUUAGCUAGUAGGUGGGGUAACGGCUCACCUAGGCGACGAUCCCUAGCUGGUCUGAGAGGAUGACCAGCCACACUGGAACUGAGACACGGUCCAGACUCCUACGGGAGGCAGCAGUGGGGAAUAUUGCACAAUGGGCGAAAGCCUGAUGCAGCUAUGCCGCGUGUAUGAAGAAGGCCUUCGGGUUGUAAAGUACUUUCAGCGGGGAGGAAGGGAGUUAAGUUAAUACCUUGGCGGAUUGACGUUACCCGCAGAAGAAGCACCGGCUAACUACGUG